GAUGAAGAACGUAGCGAAAUGCGAUAAGUAAUGUGAAUUGCAGAAUUCAGUGAAUCAUCGAAUCUUUGAACGCACAUUGCGCCCGCCAGUAUUCUGGCGGGCAUGCCUGUUCGAGCGUCAUUACAAUCCUCAGGCCCCCGGGCCUGGCGUUGGGGAUCGGCGGAAGCCCCCUGCGGGCACAACGCCGUCCCCCAAAUACAGUGGCGGUCCCGCCGCAGCUUCCAUUGCGUAGUAGCUAACACCUCGCAACUGGAGAGCGGCGCGGCCACGCCGUAAAACACCCAACUUCUGAAUGUUGACCUCGAAUCAGGUAGGAAUACCCGCUGAACUUAAGCAUAUCAAUAAGCGGAGGA
rnacentral:misc_RNA from 1 species